UCAGAUAUAGUCAUAAGGUUGUAUUCAUCGAAUGGAGAGUACUUAAACUUCGCAUUCUAACAUUAGAGAUGCCAGAAAAUAAAAACCUAGUUAGAUAAUCAU